rnacentral:rRNA from 1 species
UACGAAGGUCCCAAGCGUUGUUCGGAAUUACUGGGCGUAAAGCGUGCGCAGGCGGUUUUGUAAGCCAGAUGUGAAAUCCCCGGGCUUAACCUGGGAAUGGCAUUUGGGACUGCAAGGCUUGAGUGCGGCAGAGGAGACUGGAAUUCCUGGUGUAGCAGUGAAAUGCGUAGAUAUCAGGAGGAAUACCGAUGGCGAAGGCAGGUCUCUGGGCUGACACUGACGCUCAUGCACGAAAGCGUGGGGAGCAAACAGG